rnacentral:rRNA from 1 species
UAGGGAAUAUUAGUAAUGGGCGAAAGCCUGAACUAGCAACGCCGCGUGUGCGAAGAAGGCCUUCGGGUUGUAAGGCACUUUUUGAGAGGAUGAGGAAGGACGGUACUCUCAGAAUAAGUCUCGGCUAACUACGUGCCAGCAACCGCGGUAACACGUAGGAGGCGAACGUUAUCCGGAUUUACUGGGCGUAAAGCGCGUGUAGGUGGUUUGGUAAGUAGGGCGUGAAAGCUCCUGGCUCAACUGGGAGAGGCCGUUCUAAACUGCCGAACUAGAGGAUGGUAGAGGGAGGUGGAAUUCCGGGUGUAGCGGUGGAAUGCGCAGAUAUCCGGAGGAACACCAGUGGCGAAAGCGGCCUUCUGGACCAUUCCUGACACUCAGACGCGAAAGCUAGGGUAGCAAACGG